GAUGUCCUAGAUCUGCCAACACUACAGGCAUACCAUAGCUACAUACCAUAGCUGUGCCUGUGACAACUAUUUCUAUGUUCAGUGUUUGGAAGUCAAUGAGCACUAAGAAUGGUUUAUAGACUGACAUUU
ensembl:snoRNA